ACACAACAUUGCAUUAGACACUAAGAGCCAUUCCUUGCUCGCUAAAGGCUAAUGCAAUUGCCACACAAUAAGAGCGUCUCAACGGAGGCUGUAAAAAGAACUGGUGAGGGGAAUGUAAGAGGAGAGGCAGGGAAGGAGGGAGGAGGGAGAGUUAGGUUAGGGAGGAGUGUAAGGGAGGACCGGCAGCACUGCCUUCAGACUCUCAUAUGAAUCUCCUGGGACAAUGGGUGAAACUCUCCCUGUGUCUGCACUGUAACUCUGGGCUGAGUGUCUCACUAGUAGCUGUGUCCUCAGAGUGAUUGAUCAGGCUUGCAGGGAGGAGAGACGGAGGGGAGAGAAGAGGAGAUGACUCCGGUAGCAGGCAGGCAGACAGCUGGCUGGGUGUGUUAACUCCACAUCUGACCUCUAUGGGAACAGAGCUACCUCCUCUCCUCGCCAAGCAGACUGUGGGAACCAGGGGGACAGAGUUUUAUCCUCCCGCCCCACCACCGCCACCCCGCCUCUCCCUGCUUCUUGCUGGGCCGUAUAGCUCAUAGAACUGGCAGUGGACAGACCGGGACAUGACAGGACAAGACAGCUCUGGCAGCCAGACCUCUGAGGAUUUCCACUGCAGAAGGAGUUUUGGAGCUGCCUCCGUCACUCAGAUAGCCAGGCAUUUUUCUUGUCAGUUAUUAGCCAGAUUACAGUUAGUCAUCCAGUAAAUCAGUCACCAGGGUCUUCUACUCUGUGAAUAUCCUCAUUUGAACUCUGAUGGGACUCAAACCCUGUCCUGGACCGCCAGAGGACCAGCAGAGGUUACAGUGCUCCACAGCUGCUGCAUAAGAGAAACAUCCAGAGUCCAAAAACCGUGCAAGAGAGCAGAGGGCGGUAAAGGGCAGAGAGGUGGAGACCAGGCCUCUGGUCUAGCUGCUUAGGGGAGGGUUCCUGGCACCGUGAUUUGAUGCACAAAGAGAAACAAAAAUCACAUUGCCAGGGAUUUCCACUCCUUGACAGCUCAGUGGGAACCCUGACCCAACCUCACAUUUCACUCUUGGCUGCAUGUGUUCUCAGGCCGGACUCUAGAGUGCUAAAGAAAUUAAACAGGAAUUUUAUCAACCAUCUCAGCAGACCUCUAAAAGGUUGAUCGCUUCUGUGUGUAUUUAAGGCUCCAGCUGUUUGAAAUUUAAACUAGUCUCCCCACUCUCCGCUCUAAUGUCCCAGGAAAUGGGUGUAAAUGCAAACCAGAGCCCCACAAGACAAGGUGGGAUUUUAGAUUUACAGCAUAAGCAAGGAAUUUCUCAAGAUAUAUGAAAUAAGUGAAGAUCCUCCACAGCACUAUGCCCUCUGAAAAACGUUGCUUGAACUGCUGGCUCCGAGACCACUGACUUCACUGCCGACUUCUCACGUAAAGGUCUGCAUAAAUCUCAGCCAGCCACCCACUUGCUGAGGGCACAGAGCUUAGCUAAUUGGUGAGCAUUGAUCCCUGCAAUGUGUUGUUCACAGUGGCUAAGUUCAGUGCCCGAGGUGAAAUAGUUGAUACGACGUUGAGGAUUUGUUCCAGUGGAUGGACAGAACUUGAUGAUCUCGGAAAAGGUGAAAGAUGAAGGAAUUAAGGAGGAAAGUAGGAAGGAGAGUAUUGUAGGGGAUGAGGUUCAAAUACAAUCAUGUCACCAUUAUGACCUAAAGCAGUGGUUCCCAACCUUUUUGGACUUCUGUACCCCCUUGGCCAUUUUAAUCAUACCAUCAGUUCCCCCUGCGUCAAAUGUGUUGAUUAUUUUCAAAAAAUAGAAAGUACAACUGAUUAUAAGAUAAAAACAAUUAAAUUAAAUUCUCAGACAUUUAAUUCUUUUCAUUUAGAAUAAAAAAAUAACAUAAAUAUGCUGCCUAGAAAGUGAUAAAUAAAAUUAUAUUUUUAUUCACUGUCAUUUUUACUUUGUUUUCAUCAUUCACUGUGUUAAUUGGAUUUGCUUGAAUUUUCUUUUCUUGUGGAUGAGAAGACUGUGAUAUAGGCCGUCACAUUGAAAACUAAUCUGACCCAUACAGUAAUAAUAUUUUAAAGCACUUUUACAUUGCUCUGACUUUUAUGAUUAGGAAUUUUUUCAGUAAAAAAAUAAGUAAAUUUUAAU